rnacentral:rRNA from 1 species
GACGAACGCUGGCGGCGUGCUUAACACAUGCAAGUCGAACGGAAAGGCCCUGCGUUUGUGGGGUGCUCGAGUGGCGAACGGGUGAGUAACACGUGAGUAACCUGCCCUUGACUUUGGGAUAACUUCAGGAAACUGGGGCUAAUACCGGAUAGGAGCUCCUGCUGCAUGGUGGGGGUUGGAAAGUUUCGGCGGUUGGGGAUGGACUCGCGGCUUAUCAGCUUGUUGGUGCGGUAGUGGCUUACCAAGGCUUUGACGGGUAGCCGGCCUGAGAGGGUGACCGGCCACAUUGGGACUGGGAUACGGCCCAGACUCCUACGGGAGGCAGCAGUGGGGAAUAUUGCACAAUGGGCGGAAGCCUGAUGCAGCAACGCCGCGUGCGGGAUGACGGCCUUCGGGUUGUAAACCGCUUUCGCCUGUGACGAAGCGUGAGUGACGGUAAUGGGUAGAGAAGCACGGGCUAGGUACGUG